AUGACAGAUGCAUGGACAGACAAAAGAGGAAGGGGAGUGAUGAAUUUGGUAGUUCAUAGUGCCUAUGGCGUUGUUUUUGUUGAUUCUGUGGACUGUUCGGAUGUGAGAAAAGAUGGCAAGAUGAUAUUUGAUCUUGUUGAUAGAUGCAUAGAAGAAAUUGGGGAGAAGAAUGUUGUUCAAGUUGUAACGGAUAAUGUCUCAGUCAAUAUAGCAGCAGCAUCGAUGAUGAAAGUGAAGCGUCCCUCCCUGUUUUGGAAUGGUUGUGCAGCCCGCACAAUUGAUUUGAUGUUGCAGGACAUAGGGAAGCUUCCUAUAAUCGAACAAACCAUUGCCACAGGAAAGGUUGUGACUGUGUUCCUUUAUGCGCAUACAAGAGUUUUGGCAUUAAUGAGAAAAUUUCUUGGAAAAGACCUAGUCCGCUCUGGUAUUACUAGGUUUGCAACAUCAUAUUUGAACUUGAAGAGCUUGCAGGACAACAAAAAAGAGCUACAAAAGUUGUUCAGGUCCGAUGAACUCAAUGAAAUGGACCACCUAAAAGAGGCAAAGGGGAAGAACGCAGCUAAAAUCGUUCGCGCUGAAACUUUUUGA
rnacentral:rRNA from 1 species